UGUGCUGUGAUCAAAUGAAGGUUGGACUGA
rnacentral:piRNA from 2 species